AUGGGAUGGAGUACCAGUUUCUGGAUCAACCAUCUCAUUGUCCCAAUCAAUAAAUUUGGCAUACAAACUUUUUACAAGAUCCAAUGAAACCUUUAUUGAAAUGGGAAUCAUUAUGGAACAAAGAAGCUCAAACCGAAGAGGGAUGACCAGUAACUCGUACCAUGGACCUUCAUUCGGAUAUUGGACAUACCAUAGCUUGCGUGCUUCUGUAUCUUUCCAGACAUUCCCCGCAAUACCCAGAACAAUAACAACAACUAUCUGAAAAACAAAUAUUGCACCCGUCAAUUUGUCAAUCAUGGCAUCCAUUGCUGUAAGCUUUGG
rnacentral:misc_RNA from 1 species